rnacentral:lncRNA from 1 species
GGGCAGGGAGGCAGAGGGGAGGAAAGAGAGAAAGACUGAAGAGGAGGAGCUGGAAGGCAGAUAUGAUGAGAGGCAGGGAUGAGAGGAUGGGUGGUAUCACAGAGGCAUGCAAGUUAGAGAGGCUUUAUAGAGGAAAUGGAGGUGGAAAGCACCUCGGGACUAUGAAGCCAGCAGUCUGACCAAUGAACGCCAAGUAUCCCAGACCGAGGAAGUUCUGACCAAUGAACAUCAAGUAUCCCAGACAGAGGCUAUACCAGGUGAAAAGAAAGUCUCAGCUCCUCUGUAGAAACGCAGGUGGCUCUGUGUGGCUGGCGUGUGGUGGUA